rnacentral:piRNA from 1 species
AAGGAUGAACAGAUUUCCUUCCC